rnacentral:rRNA from 1 species
UUCCAGACUCCUACGGGAGGCAGCAGUGAGGAAUAUUGGUCAAUGGGCUUACGCCUGAACCAGCCAAGUCGCGUGAGGGAAGACUGCCCUAUGGGUUGUAAACCUCUUUUGUCAGGGAGCAACGCCGGCUACGUGUAGCCGGACUGAGAGUACCUGAAGAAAAAGCAUCGGCUAACUCCGUGCCAGCAGCCGCGGUAAUACGGAGGAUGCGAGCGUUAUCCGGAUUUAUUGGGUUUAAAGGGUGCGCAGGCGGAAUGUCAAGUCAGCGGUAAAAUUUCGGGGCUCAACCCCGUCGUGCCGUCGGAACUGGGUGCCUUGAGUGGGCGAGAAGUAUGCGGAAUGCGUGGUGUAGCGGUGAAAUGCAUAGAUAUCACGCAGAACCCCGAUUGCGAAGGCAGCAUACCGGCGCCCUACUGACGCUGAGGCACGAAAGUGCGGGUAUCGAACAGGAUUAGAUACCCUUGUA